ensembl:snoRNA SNORA70 Small nucleolar RNA SNORA70
CUGCCCAGUGUGCAGCAGCUGCAGGCAGCAACCUCCUCCUAGUGUACGCAGCCUGUUGCUUAUAGGGGCUGCCUCAAGGGACCUUGCAGACACUG